rnacentral:lncRNA from 1 species
UAAAAGAUUAUGUAAUACAGUACUAGUAGUGUGUUGGGAUUCUCUGCUUCUGUUGCAAACUUGUUUUCUAUUCUAAACUAGGGUUAUGCAGUGUUGUUAACUAGCAGUUAUAGCAGGCGUUGCAAUUGACAACAUUGGAGAAAUGCUGAGGAAAAAGUUGUAAAAUGAGAUGAUCCAAUUUUCAGUAGUUGUAGUUCAAGUUUAACAGGUAAAAGACAAUGAAUGCGUGAUCUUGCGCAUGUUUCCAAGAUUUCUAGUUAAUGUGGGAUGAGGAUUGGGAAAAGUGAUAGAAUCGUGAUAGUAUGAGGAUUGGGAAAAGUGAUAGAAUCGUGAUAGUUACUCCUAACCCUUUUCACUAAGAAUCGUGAUAGUAUGAGGAUUGGGAAAAGUGAUAGAAUCGUGAUAGUAUGAGGAUUGGGAAAAGUGAUUCUGACAACCUUAUCUAUAUGGGAAGACCACCACCACAUUGGAAAACGUUAUUACUAUUGCCUAUUGCUAUUGGUAGUCAUUGUUGUGCCAACUUCUAAAAGACAAGAAAAACUAUGAGACUUACUAUUUACUACUCGCUCUGUCCUUUUUAAUGCUUUCUUUUCCUAUUUUUGUUUUUUAUCUAACAUUCUCAAUUACUUUUUCCCUUUACUUCCUCCGUUUCUUUUUAAAUAUUUAUUUUUUAAAAAAACAUUUUUUUAAUUAUUACUUGCAAAGUUUAAG